rnacentral:lncRNA from 1 species
CUACGUGUCAAACAUGCCGUAAAACCCGUCCUUUUCUUCUUAGGUACAGUACAACAUUUUUUUUUUUGGUUCUCCUUAGUUCUGGCCAUGGUUACGGUUGUCUCUGUGUACCUGUUAUACCAAAAAGGCAAGAACACUGUUCAUGCUUCUGUAAGCUCUUACAUCACUAGGAUUGGGUUAAGGGGGGAAAAAAAAAGAUAUACACGAGUAUAUAUAAGUAUAUUCUAUUGUUUGAGUAUUCAAUAAAAAAGUUUUGUAUACCUUGUGUAUUUGGCAUCAUAUGAUCAUAGGCUCUGAGAAUUUAAUUCAAUGGCUUUGCAACCAGAGAUGCUAAACAUUGUUUUGAUACCUCUAUUGGCCCCUGGGCACAUGAUUCCAAUGGUAGACAUGGCAAAACUUUUUGCAGAACGUGGUAUUCUUGUGACUAUAGUCACGACUCCCCUCAAUGCCAUCCGGUUCACUUCGGUGAUUGAUCGUGCUAUCUCGUCUGGACUCCCCAUCCAGCUUCUUCAGCUCCAGUUUCCAUGUGAGGAAGCCGGUUUGCCCGUAGGAUGUGAAAAUGCAGACGCUUUACCGUCCUUUAAGUUAAUGAGGAACUUCUUUAUUGCAUCAAAAAUGCUACACAAGCCAUUGGAACAGACACUGCAAGGACUUAAGCCAGCUCCAAGUUGCAUUAUAUGCGAUAAGCAUCUGACAUGGACAGUUGAUUUAUCAAAUUCUCUUCAGGUUCCGAGGAUUGUUUUUGAUGGAAUGAGUUGCUUCACACAACUGAUUACGCAUAAUUUGCACAAUUCCAAGGUUCAUGAAAGUGUGCCCGAGACGGAGCCUUUCGUUGUGCCUAAUUUACCAGAUAAAGUUGAGUUUACUAAGCUCCAGCUGCCUGGAUUGUUUAAUCCAGGCUCGGCGGAUGUAGAUGAUAUUCGUAGAGAGAUUCGAGCGACUGAAACUCAAUCUUAUGGGGUGGUGGUCAAUAGUUUUGAAGAUUUGGAGCAAAGGUAUGCUGAUGAAUUUCGGAAGAUCAGAGGGGGAAAGGUUUGGUGCAUUGGUCCACUAUCACUUUUUAGCAAGGAGAAUCUAGACAAAGCUCAAAGAGGGAAUCAGGCCUCCAUUGAUACGAAUCAGUGCUUGAAGUGGCUUGAUUCACACGAGCCUAAUUCUGUAAUCUACGCGUGUCUUGGAAGCCUUGGUCGUCUAGUGCCUUCACAAUUCAUAGAGCUGGCUUUAGGCCUGGAAGCAUCAAACUACCCGUUUAUUCUAGUGAUAAGAGGAGGAGAAAAAACACAAGAAAUAGAGAAGUGGAUUUUGGAUGAUGGAUAUGAGGAAAGAAUAAAGGAAAGAGGCCUUUUAAUCCGAGGUUGGGCGCCGCAAGUACUGAUUUUAUCCCACUCUUCAAUAGGAGCAUUCUUAACGCACUGCGGUUGGAAUUCAACUCUAGAAGGUAUAUGUGCUGGCGUGCCAAUGAUCACAUGGCCUUUGUUUGCUGAGCAAUUUCUUAAUGAAAAAUUAGUAGUCCAGAUUUUGGGCGCAGGUGUAAGAGUUGGAGCUGAAGCUGUUGUAGACUUGAUCACCCAAGAAAGGCCUGGAAUGAAGGUGACGAAGGACGAGGUUAAGGCUGCCAUUGACAUGGUAAUGGAUAAGGGAAUAAAAGGAUAUGAGAGAAGGGAAAAAGUAAAAGUGCUAAAAGAAAUGGCAAAGAAAUCAGUCGAAGAAGAUGGAUCGUCCUAUCUCAACACAACGCUGCUGAUUCAAGACAUUGAGCAGCUGGUGAAGACUUAUAAGCAAUCAACAUAAGAAUCGUUCAUACCUAGUUAUUGCACAUGAUGUGUUUUAAUGUCCUAGUCUUGUUGAUUAUAAAGUAAUGCAUGUGUCAAGUUCAAGGUUGUAUUGGUGAGCUAUUCACUUAUAUCACUCGCCUUAUCAUAAAAGAAAACCAAUUCUUGAAUCCCUUUUACGCUUGUGUCAUUGAAGUACUGCGGGGGAAAAAGGACCAAGAAGAACAGCAAAAUUUGAUCCAAUUUAUUGUAAUCGAUUAGUAUUUCGAACGUCAAGUACUUGACUUAUCAAUAGUUUACAGUUUACAGUUUACAGCAUGCGAGUUUUUUAUGUCCUGUUUGCUUUUGCAGUACAGGAAGAUCUAACACUGCUUGAAGCAUGAAAUGUACAAGUUUCAUAGCUGCAAUAUCUUAAUUGGAUUUGAUGAGAAUGAAAUUAUACUGACUGAUACUAUAGUCAUUUUCUUGAAUAA